UUGAACGCUGGCGGCAUGCCUUACACAUGCAAGUCGAACGGUAGAGGGGGCGACCCUUGAGAGUGGCGAACGGGUGAGUAAUGCAUCGGAACGUGCCCAGUCGUGGGGGAUAACGCAGCGAAAGCUGUGCUAAUACCGCAUGUGAUCUGUGGAUGAAAGCAGGGGACCGCAAGGCCUUGUGCGAUUGGAGCGGCCGAUGUCAGAUUAGCUAGUUGGUAGGGUAAAAGCCUACCAAGGCGACGAUCUGUAGCUG
rnacentral:rRNA from 1 species